AGCUAGUCAAUAACAGCAGGUGAGAAUGACUGGUAACGUUAACAGGAGAGCGAAAACUGUUAAAGAGAAAGAGCACAGAGGAGCUGUAGAUUGUGACUGUAAACUUGAUCAAGAGUGCAGCUUCUCUGUAAACUCCAAAAGUUGAGUGGACUCUAUGUUAACUUUAACAGAGCAUGUCAGCGAGAGUGUUGUCAGCAGCCUUUAACAGUGGCUGUUGUGUGGUGGCGCAGCAGGGGCCGGCCUCUGCAGCCUGCUUUAUAAAUGAUGAAUGACGUUGCCAGGUUAUAAGUUUUUGGAAAUUUAUAUUCCUACAUGCGUGCAUAUGGAUCUACGGGGAUUUCUUUUUUUUUUAAUCUAAUUAUUCCCCAUUGGCUUCGGCCAGUGCUUGCGCCUAUUUACGCUUAUCAGAUGUUUUAUUUUUUCAUUCAUUUCAUUAUAUUCAUGCAUACAUUCACACACACAGAUAUGUAUGUGUAGAAAUGUGAAGAGACAACGCGGCAGCACAGAAUCGGAGCAAUCUACCCAAAAAAGAUGUGGGAAAUGGUUUGCUGGAAGGGAACUGCGGUGCAAAAUCCAUAUAGGCGGAGCGGGAGGCUUGUAUGGGCUAAGCUGCGUGUGGGUUGGGUUGGGUGGCAGGAGGGGGUGUUGAUUGUACAGCAAAAUGUCCAUGUGUAGGCCUCUGCUUUAUGUACUCUCUCUACCUCUCUCUCCUUCUUUUUCCAUUUAUGUAUUGUAUAUAUUUUGAGUGUGUGUGUGUCUGAGUGUGUACAGUCAGGGGGCAGGGAGAUUGCCACAUGCCUCAACCCACAAAACGAGACGAGAUGUUGACAACAACAACAACUAAAACAACACCAAAAGGCAGUAUCAUGGAGGCCAGUGUAUGCGAGCGGGGGGUAAAGGUUAAGUACCCCAAAGAGGUGGCGAUGGAUGGAGGGAAGAGGCACUACCACAUAUUGGUGCACUCGUAUUUGCAGCAAAAUCCAUCUAAAGCGAACACCUAGGGAUACCACCACGGACAACAAUGCCAGCGUAGAUGUCCGCUUUAAAGAGAUGGCUAAGUGGUUGACAGAGAGAGAGAGAGAGGGGGGAAAUAGCUGUAGAGUAGAUGUCCAUCUACGAGAGAUGUUCGAGAGAGACAGUUCCUUGACCUAUCUAACAUUAUAUUCCUAAUGAUCUACUCUUCUAGGCUUGGCUUUCUUCUGGUUGGAUUAAUUUUUAGAGACCCCUGACACUGAUGUUACCUGAUGGGCAUCCAGCUAGCUUUUCUUUUACAUAUUGCAUCUACUUAUGUACUUAUGUACCUACAUAUGUAGAUGUUUAUGUAUUUCAAGUAUUUAUGUACAUAUUCCCCUCUCUCUUCCAUCGUUUUUGUAGCAUUGCUUUGCUUCUCAUAUUCCCCUCCCUCACUGUUUUUAGCUGCUUUUAUUUAUUAUUUAUUUUCUUUUGCAUUCCCCUCUCUCUUUUACAUUGCCUUUUCUUUAUACGCUAAUUUAUUUUCGCAUACAUUUUUCUACAUUUACAUUCAGCGCUCGCUCCCCCUCGCUCUCUCUGUAUGUCUCUUUGUCUAUCCAUGGGGGAAAAGCGUCUGCAACUGCAACAUCAUCUGCAUGGUGCAUCUUCCACACAAAAAAAGUUUAAAGUUGCCUGUUGUUCAGACAUCGGCCUCGUUUCUGGCUCUGCCUCUGCCUCUGCCUCUGCCACUGACUACAGUUUCAAAGUGCAAUAACCGUUUGCCAUUAACCCAUCGAUGGGCGGAGUGCCGGGCCAGUGGACACCCAAUGGCUGGAACCAAUGCCAAGGGAAGAUGGAUAAGGUUUUCCACCGAGAUUGGGUCUAUAGUCUAUGGCUUUUCAUACUGAUUAGAAAAUCAUUUACAUGCGGUACUGAUGGUCAAAAUAAAAAUUAAAAAUGUUAAAUUUUGUAAAACUUACGAAACAAAUUUGAUUUCUAU
rnacentral:lncRNA from 1 species